CCUACGGGGGGCAGCAGUGGGGAAUAUUGGGCAAUGGGCGCAAGCCUGACCCAGCAACGCCGCGCGAAGGAAGAAGGCUUUCGGGUUGUAAACUUCUUUUAUGAGGGACGAAACAAAUGACGGUACCUCAUGAAUAAGCCACGGCUAACUACGUGCCAGCAGCCGCGGUAAUACGUAGGUGGCAAGCGUUAUCCGGAUUUACUGGGUGUAAAGGGCGUGUAGGCGGGACUGCAAGUCAGAUGUGAAAAUUAUAGGCUCAACCCAUAACCUGCAUUUGAAACUGUAGUUCUUGAGUGAUGGAGAGG
rnacentral:rRNA from 1 species